AAGUCGUAACAAGGUUUCUGUAGGUGAACCUGCAGAAGGAUCAUUAGUGAAAGUUUCGGGCCUGCCAUACGGACGCAAACACGUCUCUGGCGCCCAUCACUAUAUCCAUACCAACCCCUGUGCACUGUGAUGACGAAUGUCAUCGAACAAAAAAAACUCGUAUGGUUGAAUGUACGUGAAAUUGUAGGUAUAGCCUACGAACUAUACACAACUUUCGACAACGGAUCUCUUGGUUCUCCCAUCGAUGAAGAACGCAGCGAAACGCGAUAGGUAAUGUGAAUUGCAGAAUUCCGUGAAUCAUCGAAUCUUUGAACGCACCUUGCGCUCCAUGGUAUUCCGUGGAGCAUGCCUGUUUGAGUGCCGCGAAUUCUCCCUCCCCUUACGGUGGCCGAAAGGCCGAAGUAGGGCGGACGGGGUAGGAUGGGUGUUUGCUGCCUGGGGAUUGUACCAGGCUCGCCCGAAAUGCAUAAGCGCCAGGACCCUCGCUACCGCUCUCUAGGGAAGAGUGGCUAAGCGACCGCUGAGCAUGGCAUGAUACGUCAUUUGCUGUGUGUGGGCGGCCGGUUGGAGAGGUGUCUGCUUUACCAGCCCUAUUUUAAUUCUGGUCUCAAAUCAGGUAGGAUCACCCGCUGAACCUAAGCA
rnacentral:misc_RNA from 1 species